UUGUUUGUGCUCCACAAUGAUAAGGUCCC
rnacentral:piRNA from 1 species